UACAGGGGGGGCAAGCGUUGUUCGGAAUUACUGGGCGUAAAGGGUUUGUAGGUGGCUUGUUAAGUCAGACGUGAAAUCCCUCAGCUUAACUGGGGAACUGCGUCUGAUACUGAUGAGCUUGAGUGCAGGAGAGGAACGCGGAAUUCCAGGUGUAGCGGUGAAAUGCGUAGAUAUCUGGAGGAACACCGGUGGCGAAGGCGGCGUUCUGGACUGCAACUGACACUGAAAAACGAAAGCCAGGGGAGCAAACGGGAUUAGAUACCCCGGUAGUCCUGGCCCUAAACCAUGAAUGCUUGGUGUGGCGGGUAUCGAUCCCUGCCGUGCCGGAGUUAACGCGAUAAGCAUUCCGCCUGGGGAGUACGGUCGCAAGGCUGAA
rnacentral:rRNA from 1 species